AAUUUUAUAGUUUAUUAAAAAUAUUAAAUUGCAAAUUUAAAGAAAAUUUUAAAAUAUUUAAGAUUU
rnacentral:tRNA from 2 species